rnacentral:rRNA from 1 species
CAAUAGUGUAUAUUAAAGUUGCUGCAGUUAAAAAGCUCGUAGUUGGAUUUCAGGGUCACCUGGCCGGUCUGCCGAUAGGUAAGCACUGGUCGCGUGACUCUUCCUUCUGAAGGCGGCAUUUGUCAUUAAUUUGGCGAGUGUUCGAAUUCAGGACGUUUACUUUGAAUAAAUUAGAGUGUUUAAAGCAGGCCACUGCCUUGAAUACAUUAGCAUGGAAUAAUGGAAUAGGACUUUGGUUCUAUUUUGUUGGUUUCUGGGACCAAAGUAAUGAUUAAUAGGGAUAGUUGGGGGCGUUAGUAUUUCGUUGCUAGAGGUGAAAUUCUUAGAUUUAUGAAAGACUAACUACUGCGAAAGCAUUCGCCAAGGAUGUUUUCAUUAA